rnacentral:rRNA from 1 species
GACGAACGCUGGCGGCGUGCCUAAUACAUGCAAGUAGAACGCACAGUUUAUACCGUAGCUUGCUACACCAUAAACUGUGAGUUGCGAACGGGUGAGUAACGCGUAGGUAACCUGCCUGGUAGCGGGGGAUAACUAUUGGAAACGAUAGCUAAUACCGCAUAAUAUUGUUUAUUGCAUGAUAAUUGAUUGAAAGCUGCUAUUGCAUCACUACCAGAUGGACCUGCGUUGUAUUAGCUAGUAGGUGAGGUAACGGCUCACCUAGGCGACGAUACAUAGCCGACCUGGGAGGGUGAACGACCAAACUGGGACUGAGACACGGCCCAGACUCCUACGGGAGGCAGCAGUAGGGGAUCAUCGGCAAUGGACGAAAGUCUGACCGAGCAACGCCGCGUGAGUGAAGAAGGUUUUCGGAUCGUAAAGCUCUGUUGUAAGAGAAGAACGGGUGUGAGGGUGGAAAGUUCACACUGUGACGGUAUCUUACGAGAAAGGGACGGCUAACUACGUG